GACGUAGGUGGCGAACGUUAUCCGGAAUUAUUGGGCGUAAAGGGUGCGUAGGUGGUGUAGUAAGUUAUCGGUGGCAAAUCGAGGCUCAACCUCGUGGAGGUCGGUAAUACUGCUAUGCUAGAGGAUAGGAGAGGUUAACGGAACUCCCUGUGGAGCGGUGAAAUGCGUAGAUAUAGGGAAGAACACCAAUAAGGCGAAGGCAGUUAACUAUGCUAUUCCUGACAUUGAGGCAUGAAAGCGUGGGGAGCAAACCGG
rnacentral:rRNA from 1 species